rnacentral:rRNA from 1 species
AGAGUUUGAUCCUGGCUCAGGACGAACGCUGGCGGCGCGCCUAACACAUGCAAGUCGAACGAGCGAGAGAGAGCUUGCUUUCUCAAGCGAGUGGCGAACGGGUGAGUAACGCGUGAGGAACCUGCCUCAAAGAGGGGGACAACAGUUGGAAACGACUGCUAAUACCGCAUAAGCCCACGACCCGGCAUCGGGUAGAGGGAAAAGGAGCAAUCCGCUUUGAGAUGGCCUCGCGUCCGAUUAGCUAGUUGGUGAGGUAAUGGCCCACCAAGGCGACGAUCGGUAGCCGGACUGAGAGGUUGAACGGCCACAUUGGGACUGAGACACGGCCCAGACUCCUACGGGAGGCAGCAGUGGGGAAUAUUGCACAAUGGGGGAAACCCUGAUGCAGCGACGCCGCGUGGAGGAAGAAGGUCUUCGGAUUGUAAACUCCUGUUGUUGAGGAAGAUAAUGACGGUACUCAACAAGGAAGUGACGGCUAACUACGUGCCAGCAGCCGCGGUAAAACGUAGGUCACAAGCGUUGUCCGGAAUUACUGGGUGUAAAGGGAGCGCAGGCGGGAAGACAAGUUGGAAGUGAAAUCCAUGGGCUCAACCCAUGAACUGCUUUCAAAACUGUUUUUCUUGAGUAGUGCAGAGGUAGGCGGAAUUCCCGGUGUAGCGGUGGAAUGCGUAGAUAUCGGGAGGAACACCAGUGGCGAAGGCGGCCUACUGGGCACCAACUGACGCUGAGGCUCGAAAGUGUGGGUAGCAAACAGGAUUAGAUACCCUGGUAGUCCACACCGUAAACGAUGAUUACUAGGUGUUGGAGGAUUGACCCCUUCAGUGCCGCAGUUAACACAAUAAGUAAUCCACCUGGGGAGUACGACCGCAAGGUUGAAACUCAAAGGAAUUGACGGGGGCCCGCACAAGCAGUGGAGUAU